GGACUACCGGGGUAUCUAAUCCUGUUUGCUCCCCACGCUUUCGCGCAUCAGUGUCAGUUACGGUCCAGAGAGCCGCCUUCGCCACCGGUGUUCUUCCCAAUAUCUACGAAUUUCACCUCUACACUGGGAAUUCCACUCUCCUCUCCCGUACUCCAGUCUCAGAGUAUCAAGCGCAAUUCCCAGGUUAAGCCCGGGGCUUUCACGCCUGACUACCAAAACCACCUACGCGCCCUUUACGCCCAGUAAAUCCGAACAACGCUCGCCCCCUUCGUAUUACCGCGGCUGCUGGCAC
rnacentral:rRNA from 2 species